GCCCUUUCGCUACACUGUGCUAGGUGGUGUGUUUGUAUCCGUUAUCCGGUUUCUGCACCCUGACAGAGGAACCUUCCGGCCUGAUGGCUUUGCAAGGGCUCCUCCAGGUGCCGGAUGGAGAAUGGUUGGAUAAAACAGCGGCCUGCCUGGUUGCGGAGAGCGUGGCUAAGGCCUGCGCGGGGGUGAGGCGCACUGGGCAUGCGCGUUGAAGGGAGCAGCGCACGUGACCCAGACCCUGUCUCCCCUGGAGGACCCGGAGGGAGCUUCCUUCGGGCCCGGAGAGGAACACUUGGUACUGAAGAUGAGCUAAAGAGGUGAUGAUCUUAUUGGCCUGUGCUCACUUAGCAGUGCCAGCCAAGGAUACCUGCUUGCUUUCUACUGGAUCGGGUUUCAUCAGAAGCUGGCCUGCUGGGUGAUAGUGUAUGAUCCACGUUCCUUUUUGAUAAAAUGCUUGCUGACUUCUUUCGGGAAAGGCUGAAUCUUGUAUGUAAAUUCCUGCUGCUUUUGUUACAUGAAGGGACACACGGGGAGAUUUUAUCAAUAAACAAACAGAAAAACUGAA